AUGGUCCGUAAGAAUCAAAGUGGAAAAUCGCCAAAAAAAUCACGAAAAAGUGACCCUGAUGCGUCCCACAGUAAUGUGAUGUUUACUUCUUACUCAACAACAUCUGUUCAUAAACGAAAUUUGUGUAUAGUUUCUUUUCCCAUAAUAUUUUUAUUUAACGUCUUACGUUCUCUUCUUUAUCAAAUUUUUGUUAUCUUACGUUUUGUUUACUGCAGUUCUUCAACUUAUUUUGUUCGUCAUCAGAUAGCUGAUUGUGAGAAUGGUGAAAGGAAUAAUUGUGUAGUUAUCGAAGAAGUUUCUGAAAUGGCACAAGCAAAAAGUACAGGUCCGGGUCCAGGUGAUCCUUUGUUAGCUAAACAAAAACACCAUCACAGAAGAGCCUUUGAAUAUAUUUCUAGAGCCUUGAAAAUCGACGAGGAAAACGAAGGUCAGAAAGAGCUUGCUAUUGAUUUGUACCGUAAGGGAAUCACAGAAUUAGAGCUGGGUAUUGCAGUACAAUGUUGGGGUGGUCGGGGAGAAGUUUGGGAGAGAGCUCAAAGAUUGCAUGAAAAAAUGAAGACAAACCUAGCCAUGGCCAAGGACAGAUUACAGUUUUUAGAAAGCAUGGAUAGGUUACAUAAUUUGGAAGUAAAUCAACCCCAGGACACCCCUAAAUACUCAUACAGUAGCAAUAUCCCUGCACCCAAAACUAAUGUCUCUAAACCAGGUACAAAUCCUACACAAUUUAGCAAGCUUUUUGGCUCUCUAACUGCUUUGCUGGAUAACACAACUUCAGGAAAAAAACUAACAGUAGCUAGCAAACGUCCCGCAAAUUCUCCAUUAUCCAAAAGUUUAACAUUGCCGCGAUCGAUGGGUUCUCGUAACACUCCAGUUCAACCAGUACGUCCAUUCAACAAAAUAUCAUCAACCCCACCUGCCGUCAAGAAACAGUUGUCUGUUCCAGGAAAUGCUGGAUCUCCGGCGAGAAAAGUCAACAGUGGAAACAACAUCAAUGCAGCUGCCGGUACAAGUAAGCAAGGCCAAAGAGUAAGAUCACCAUCGCUUCGUGGAGUGGAUCCGAAGUUAGCUCAUGCCAUUCUGGAUGAAAUAGUGGAAGGAGGACCGGCAAUCCAGUGGGAAGACAUUGUUGGUCAAGAUACUGCCAAACAGGCCCUUCAAGAAAUGGUAAUCUUGCCUUCGUUACGACCCGAAUUAUUUACAGGACUGAGAACACCCGCGAGAGGUUUGUUACUGUUUGGACCUCCAGGCAAUGGAAAAACGUUGCUCGCUAGAGCGGUAGCUACUGAAUGUCAGGCCACAUUUUUCUCAAUUAGUGCAGCGAGUUUGACAUCAAAGUACGUCGGAGAUGGAGAAAAAAUGGUGCGGGCAUUAUUUGCGAUAGCUAGAGAACUCCAGCCUUCCAUUAUUUUUAUAGAUGAAGUAGAUUCUUUGUUAUCGGAAAGAUCAAAUAAUGAACAUGAAGCUAGUAGGAGAUUGAAAACGGAAUUUCUGGUGGAGUUUGAUGGGCUACCUAGUAAUCCAGAAAGUGAAAAGGUGCUCGUGAUGGCAGCAACAAACAGACCGCAAGAAUUAGACGAAGCCGCCCUUCGACGCUUUCCGAAGAGGGUUUAUGUGAGCUUACCCAAUUUAGAAACAAGAGCUAAGCUGCUCAAGAAAUUAUUGGCAAAACAGGGUUGUACGUUAACGCAACAAGAAUUAAAGAGGUUGGCGACAUUGACUGAAGGUUACUCCGGUAGUGAUCUGACUGCUCUUGCCAAAGAUGCUGCCCUCGGUCCCAUUAGAGAAUUACAGCCGGAACAAGUUAAACAACUGGAUCCAAACGCUGUCAGAAGCAUAACGAUAAAUGACUUUUUGGAUUCGCUAAAACGUAUUAGACGUAGCGUGUCACCGCAAAGCCUUGUAGCUUACGAGAAGUGGUCGUUACAAUAUGGCGAUGUUUCCAUAUAAAGAAGUCACAUUCCUAUUAUAUAUAUUCACAAACAAAAGACAGUUAUUUUAAAAGAUUUAACGCUACAUAUUUGGGAGUUUUUAACGGAAAAUUAUAAUUAACAUUAUUUCGUGUUGCAUCAGAAUAUUAGUUCAGUUCGAAUGCUAAAUUGCAACCCAUAUCAUGACUAAUUCACCUAGUGUGUGAACCUGUAAGGUAAAUAUUGUUUUAAAAAAAUUAUCCAAUAGGCCGUAUCGGCCUGUCAUCGCUCGUGGGGGCAUACACUUGUAAUAUAUUUAAUUUGACGGGGCUAUUAUUCAGUUGGAUUAUUAUUAAUCUUUCAGAAAUAGGUAUAACUUUUGUAACAUAUUAACGUAAUUGGGGAGACACGAUUAUUCUAACCGCAUAUAUAAGUUGACCAUCGUCAUUUCCUGAGUGGUACACCAUAAUAUAACCUUCACAAAGGGUAACUGCUUUGGCUCUCUUUCCUGACAACCAGUUUUGGUAACGGCUUUUGGGUUUCGUGGAGCCAUUUUUGUUGAAUCGUCAAUGAGGUGUUCUUUUCCGACAAUUAAAAAAA
rnacentral:misc_RNA from 1 species